ACCCUUAUCGGUGGAUCACUAGGCUCGUGGAUCGAUGAAGAACGCAGCAAACUGCGAUAAUUAUUGCGAACUGCAGAAGUAUUGAGCACAAAAGUUUUGAACGCAAAUGGCCGCAUUGGUCAAACUCUUUGCAACGUCUGGUUCAGGGUCAUUUUCUCUUAUAGCGGAAGCUUUAAUUUCUAUAAUGAUGUUGUUGCUUUAUAUUUUAAAAGGAUUUUUGUUUAUUCAUGUAUUAAAUCUAACUGUGAAAAUCAAACAAUUUUGACCUGAACUCAGUCGAGAGCACCCGCUGAACUUAAGCAUAUCAGUAAGCGGAGGAAAAGAAACUAAAUAGGAUUCCCCCAGUAACGGCGAGUGAAAAGGGAAAAGUCCAUCGCUAAAUCGUUUUGCCUCAGGCAUUAUGAGGUGUAGCGUAUAAGUCGUAAACUUUGAUCUUUUGUCUCAAACAAGUCCCCUUGACAGAGGUUCCACAGAAGGUGCAAGUCCUGUACGUUGAGAUAAUUGAUCGAUAUUUGCGUGCUUUAGAGUCGGGUUGUUUGGGAUCGCAGCCAAAGUCGGUGGUAAACUUCAUCUAAGACUUAAUAUUGCCACGAGACCGAUAGCAAACAAGUACUGUGAAGGAAAGUUGCAAAGCACUUUGAAGAGAGAGUUAAAGAGGACGUGAAACCGGUAAGGUGGAAACGGAUAGAGUCGGCGUAUCAUUCAAUUAUUCAGUUACAUUAUUUUUAUGUUGUGACCUCUGAGCUCCAGAUUGGGACAGAGGGAAUCAGCAUAAUUUUUUGUGGUGCAUUUACUUGAUUGGUGCUUGGGGAUGUUUGAGGCAGAUUUGUUUCCGUCGUUUUGAGGCCAGCUUGCUGGUACCCAAACGGUGUUAGCAUUUUUUGUCUUGGGCAUUUGAGUAUGGCUCACGUGUAUUUAUUGGACAGAUCUGAGUGUAAGUUACGGUCGCAUGCGACACGUGCUUUUCAAUUAGUUCGGUCCAGUUAAUGCUCUCGUACUCGUUCCCCAUGUAAAAGCCGGUCAUCUAUCCGACCCGUCUUGAAACACGGACCAAGGAGUUUAUCGUGUGCGCAAGUUUUUGGGUGUUAAAAACUUAAAAGCGAAAUGAAAGUAAAUGACUCUUUAGAGUCUGAUGUGCGAUCUUGUAAAAAAGUGUAGCAUGGCCCCAUUCUAACUGUUUACAGUAGGGUGGCGGAAGAGCGUACGCGGUGAGACCCGAAAGAUGGUGAACUAUUCCUGAGCAGGACGAAGCCAGAGGAAACUCUGGUGGAAGUCCGAAGCGGUUCUGACGUGCAAAUCGAUCGUCUGACUUGGGUAUAGGGGCGAAAGACUAAUCGAACCAUCUAGUAGCUGGUUCCCUCUGAAGUUUCCCCCAGGAUAGCUGGAGCUCAAGAGUAGUUAUACUCGGUAAAGCGAAUGAUUAGAGGACUUGGGAACGAAAUGUUCUUAACCUAUUCUCAAACUCUAAAUGGUUAUGAUGUCAAAGUUGCUUGAUUUUGAACUUUGGCGUUGAAUACGAGCUCCAAGUGGGCCAUUUUUGGUAAGCAGAACUGGCGAUGUGGGAUGAACCAAACGCGGAGUUGCGGUGCCAAAGUAUCCGCUCAUUAGACCCCAUAAAAGGUGUUGGUUGAUACAGACAGCAGGACGGUGGCCAUGGAAGUCGGAAUCCGCUAAGGAGUGUGUAACAACUCACCUGCCGAAUCAACUAGCCCUGAAAAUGGAUGGCGCUGGAGCGGGUCACCUAUACUCUGCCGUCAUAAGCUUGUAUUUUGUACUAAGGAAGCCCAGCGUUGCUUAACUUGCCAGAUCGGACGGGAUGGCGUGCUUUCAACGCGGUAUGGUCGUAAUCAAUGGGUUGUCAAUUUCUUAAUAUUUAAAACAAAUUUCGCUGAGGCAAAGUGGGCGUGGAUUUCGAUGUUCGCUGUUCGCGGGAAUGGUUUAAAGGAAAACUCAAAUUGGGCUAAUCUAGAAACUCGUGGAGAGAAAUAAUAGGAUUAAAAAAUUUUUUGAAAAAUUUAAAGUUUAUUAUUAUAAUAAGCUUUGUUUUUUGAAGAAUAAAGUUUAUUGUUAUUUAUUUUUUAAAACUUUUAAAGUUUAUAAAAUUAAACUUAUAACAAUAAACUUCUAACAAUCCUUUAUUGACUCUCGCUGCAAAAUUAAUUUGGCUUCUGGCAAUUGUCAGGAAUUUAGCCGAUUAUAACUUUUGUGAAUUUAUAAUUAUAAUUAAUUAUUGACAUUCUUUUGCAAAGGAUAUUUAGUAUGUUAUCAGCUGUCAUUAAUUUUUAAUUUUCGACUUUUAUUUCGGGAUUUUGAAUUCUAAAAUUAUCAAUGUAAUCAUUAUUAAUGACAGCUUAAUUACCAGCAGUCUCGGUAAUUCAAGCUUUGCUAAAUACCUAAAUAAAAGAUAUCUGGUUGAUCCUGCCUGAACUGAUGUGUUUAUUUCAAAGAUUAAGCCAUGCAUGUAUAAGUUUAAUCGUUUAUCGAGAAACCGCGAACGGCUCAUUACAAUGGCCAUUAU
rnacentral:rRNA from 1 species